UACGUAGGUGGCAAGCGAUACUCGGAAUCACUAGGCGUAAAGCGCAGGUAGGCGGUUUGAUAAGUCUGUUGGUGAAAGCUCCCGGCUUAACUGGGAGAGGUCAACGGAAACUGUCAGGCUAGAGUGUGGUAGAGGUAGCUGGAAUUCCUGGUGUAGCGGUGGAAUGCGCAGAUAUCAGGAGGAACACCGAUGGCGAAGGCAGGUCACUGGGCCGCAACUGACGCUGGAGGAGCGAAAGCAUGGG
rnacentral:rRNA from 1 species